CAGCAGGUUGGAAACCCUCUUUUUCUACAAUCUACUAGGGUACUAUUCGGACCAAAUUGAGGCCUAUACUGAAAAACUGAUUAUCCCGUGAUAAAAACUAGAAAAAAGCUGUCAGUAAAAAUGCUGUGCAAUAUGUGGAUUCAUGUCACAAAUUUAAACCUCUGCAUUUAUUCAGCAAGUUUGGAAUACCUUUUUGUAGAAUAUACAAAGGGAUGUUUCACACCUAUAAAAGCCUAUAGUAAAAAAGUUGGAUACACUCUUGUUGUAGAAUCUACAAAGAGACAUUUUGAAGUUCAUUGAGGUCUAUAGUGAAAAACCAAAUAUCCAGUGAUAGAAACUAUAAAGAAGCUAUCUCUGAAAAUACUUUAUGAUGUGUGAUUUCAUUUCACAAGUUGAACUUUUCUUUUGAUUCAACAGGUUGGAAACACUCUUUUGUAAAAUCUACAAAGAAACAUUUUGGAGUCCAUUGAGGCCUAUAGUGAAAAACUGAAUAUUUCGCCUUGAAAACCAGAAACAAGCUAUCUGUGAAAAUGCUUUGUGAUGGAAGAUUUAUCUCACAGAGUUAAACGUUUGUAUUGAUUCAGCUGGCUGGCAACACUCUUUUUGUAAAAUCUACAAUGGGACAUUUCAGAGACCAUUGAAGUCUACAGAAAAAGACUGAAUAUCCCAUGAUUAAAACUAGAAACAAGC
rnacentral:lncRNA from 1 species